GCGACCCCAGGAGGGGCGGGGUGAC
rnacentral:rRNA from 1 species